rnacentral:rRNA from 1 species
UACGUAGGGUGCAAGCGUUAUCCGGAAUUAUUGGGCGUAAAGAGCUCGUAGGCGGUUUGUCGCGUCUGCUGUGAAAACUGGAGGCUCAACCUCCAGCCUGCAGUGGGUACGGGCAAACUAGAGUGCGGUAGGGGAGAUUGGAAUUCCUGGUGUAGCGGUGGAAUGCGCAGAUAUCAGGAGGAACACCGAUGGCGAAGGCAGAUCUCUGGGCCGUAACUGACACUGAGAGACGAAAGCUAGGGGAGCGAAUGGG